CCCAGUAGUGGGGAACAACUCCGAGAAAUCGGAGCUAAUACCGCAUACGGUCUGUUGCGAGAGCAACGAGACUAAAGCCAACGCAAGAAGGUGCUAUUGGAGGAACCUGCGGCUGAUUAGCUAGUUGGUGGGGUAAAGGCCUACCAAGGCGAUGAUCAGUAGCUGGUCUGAGAGGAUGGACAGCCACACUGGGACUGAGAUACGGCCCAG
rnacentral:rRNA from 1 species